GAAAAAUGGCAGUAGUUCUGUUUGUGCUGUCGAACGGAUGAUCCUGAAAUACCUAAACCCAAGUCAAGCUCCUUCAGUCAACAAGAACAAAGUUUAUAACAUAAUAAUGUUGGCGUAUGGACUUGAGAAACAACAUAAUGUUGGCCAGAAGGUGCAGAGACAAACUUGAAUGCAAGCUUUCUCAAAUUUUCCAAACAAUACAGAUGACAAAAUCAACAAAAUAGAAUGGAAAAUGACUUACACUUUUAAGGCAUGCUCGAAUCUUGAUCUAAAAUUGGUGCUGGGUCGAUUGUUGGUCACCAAAUCUAAAUGAAGAAUUCCUCAGACCAAAUGAAAUUAAAAGUUAGGACUUCACAAAACCAAUUGAAAAUCUGAUUCCAAAGUUCCAAACACCCACCAAAUGAUUCCGGAUAAAGUUUAAACUCAAAAACCCAACAGAAACAAAAGCAUUGGUGUGGAUUAACUAUAUCUGAUUGUCGAACGGAUGAUACUGAAAUACCUAAAAGGCUAAACCCAAGUCAAGCUCCUUCAAUCAACAAGAACAUAGUUUAUAAUAUAAGGGCACGUUUGUUUGACAGGAUUAGCAAGGCUUGGACUGGACUAGACUAUAGUCCUGUGUUUGGUGUGCAACCGGAUUAGCUUUAAUGGGCUUAGGUGGGACUCGCUCGGAUUACACGCCUCCUUACAAGUUCUUAACGAAGAACCCCAAUUUUGGGCGGACUCGUAAGCACGGAGAGAAAACCGCGAGGAUCCCCAACGUCCUGCUCGUCCUCAUCUCUGCGAGGAUCCCCAACGUCCCUCGUCCUGCUCGUCGCUCGUCGUCGAUCUUGCCCUGCUUCCUCGUCGUCGUUCUCCUCACCCUCAUCGACGAAAGCUUCUCGUUGGUGCCCAACCCCAUGCCUUUGCCUCCCAUCAACGAUCUCACUUGCAUUGUCACUGGAUCCACCAGCGGCAUCGGCCGCGAAAUCGCCAGGUCUCCUCCUUCUCCUUCCUUCAAAUCUCCAAACAUUGACGAUUUCAGUUUUCUUGUUAGCUUGUUUGUUUAGUAUAAAUAAAUCAACUCAAUUUGCAAGAUUGCAUUAAGACUUAGGGGUCCCACUGUUUGGUUACUGAGAAUUUUGAUAACCUGGUGCCCAUUUCUCAGUUUCAAUUGUGAAUUUUGAAUUAGUUUUGCUUAAACAUGAAAACUGAACAGGCAGCUGGCGGAAUCAGGCGCGCAUGUUGUAAUGGCGGUGAGGAAUACGAAAGCAGCUAAUGAGUUGAUCCAGAAGUGGCAAAAUGAAUGGUCUGGAAUGGGGCUUCCUCUCAAUAUUGAGGUAACUUAUUAACAGGGCCAACGCUAAUAUCUACAUUUCAUUAAUUAUAUACAAACAAUACUAUUGUUUAACUUUAAUAGGUAAUGGAACUUGAUCUGCUUUCAUUGGAUUCUGUUGUGAGAUUUGCCGAAGCAUGGAAUGCUCGUUUAGGACCUCUCCAUGUUCUUAUCAACAAUGCUGGGAUAUUUUCAAUUGGAGGUUGAUCGCUUUGUUGACAUUUUUACCUGAUUUCAAAUGUUCAUCCCUUCAGAAUCUGAUCGGUCAUUUGCUGGACUACACUGUCAUUGGUGUGUUCAGAGCCGCAAAAGUUUUCUAAAGAUGGUUACGAAGAACACUUGCAAGUGAAUCAUCUGGCUCCAGCGUUGCUAUCCGUCUUGCUAUUGCCUUCCCUUAUUAGAGGAUCUCCGAGUCGAAUUGUUAAUUUGAAUUCCGUUGUAAGUUCCAUGGUCAUCAUGCAUACAAUUUUACACUCUUCUACUUUUGCUUUUCUGGGUAUAUAUGAUAUAUAUAACAUUCGCACACCUACGUACACACACAUGGAAAGAAAAACUAGUUGGCAUAUAUGCUAACUAGUUGUAGAUACAUCCUUAGGUUUUUAGAUUGGCACUAUAAAUGUAUUUCACAGUUUGAUAUUCUUGUUUUAUUGUUAUGUUAAUCUGAGAAUGCUCGUUCUUUCUUUAUAUAGAUGCAUUAUGUUGGCUUUGUUGACACAGAAGACAUGAACGUUGUUUCCAGGAAAAGAAAAUAUACAAGCUUAGUGGGUUACUCAAGCAGCAAGUUGGCACAGGUGGUCUUGAAAGUCUUUAUUGUUUGAUGGUUUCCAUAUUUUAGCUGGAACAAGCUUGUAAGAGCUACAAGCUUUUCUUCCUAUCCAUCUUUGUGGAAAUGAAUUCAGGUCCUCUUGAUCUGUAAAGUUUAACUACUUUGUGCGAUAUAUAUAUAUAUAUAUAUUUGAAAUACAGGUGCCUCUGUCUUUAUUUAGAUCUUUUUAGUUACUUGGACCUGUACAUUGAUCAAGUGCUUGAUGAUUGGGUGCUAUAAUCUGCUUGUGUUUUUUUUUUAAUUUUUUUUUUAAUUUUUUUAAUUUUUAUGGUUUCAACUUCUGCUUUGAUCUCUCUUUUCUAUUAGUUUGUAAAAGCUGGUCAUCUAUUACCCAAGGCUGGACACUUGCACAUAAUUAAAUGUCAAUUAACUGCGGUGGUAUGUAUAUAAUUUUCGACGCUAAAACAAGACUACUCUAACCUAGUCGUAUAUGGAUUGCAGAUUAUGUUUAGUAGUGUCCUACAUAAGCGGCUGCCUGCUGAAUCUGGCAUUAGUGUAGUGUGCGUUUCACCUGGAAUUGUCCAGACUAAUGUUGUAAGUAUCUUGACGCGUUCCCCUCCCUUCCUUGUUAUCUCGAAGAAGGAUGUGCCUUCAAGGUUUCUAUAUGAAAGUUCUAAUUGACAGUCUUGCAUGUUAUUAUUUUAUGUACCUUGAAGAUUUUACGUUCAAAUAUUAUUUACAUAUACAGUAUAGUAUAUUGAAUUUUAUGUAUCAUUUUGGAUUUCAAUUAAUUACAGGCAAGGGAUCUACCCAGGAUUGUUCAGGCUGCGUAUCAUCUAGUACCUUAUUUGCUGCAACAUUCACUACUUUGCUGGCGGCCGUCGUAAGCACCCCAGGCGCCGCCGCUGGUUUUCUGUUAAAUGGGUUUUUUUCUUUAUUUGAGUUAUUUUUGUUUUUGUGGGGAAGAAGAUUGGUAGAUGAUGUGGUCCAAUCUGGGAACCAAUGCAUUUUCUUAAACGGCUGAGAUUGAAAGACUGAUUUGGCCUGGUAGAGCAUCCAAGUAAAAAUUUGGGUGUGUAAUCUGUGUGUGUGCAUCUGUAUGUGUGUGUGUGUGUGUGUAAUCUGUGUGUGUGUAAGUGUAAUAUGUGUGUGUAUGUAAUCUGUGUGUGUAUACUAUGUGUGUGUGUGUGUGUGUAAUCUGUGUGUAUGUAAUCUCUCUCUCUCUGUGUAAUCUGUGUGUGUGUGUGUAAUCUGUGUGUGUGUGUGUGUGUGUGUGUGUAAUCUGUGUGUAUGUAAUAUCUCUCUCUCUGUGUGUAAUCUGUGUGUGUGUGUGUAAUCUUUGUGUGUGUGUGUGUAUGUAUGUAAUCUCUCCUCUCUCUGUGUGUAAUCUGUGUGUGUGUGUGUAAUCUUUGUGUGUGUAAGUGUAAUAUGUGUGUGUGUGUGUGUGUGUGUGUGUAUAAUAUGUGUGUGUGUAAGUGUAAUAUGUGUGUGUGUGUGUGUUUGUGUAGUGUGUGUGUGUGGGUGUGUGUGUUUGUGUAUUGUGUCCGUGUGUGUGUGUGUGUGUGUGUGUGUGUGUGUGUGUGUGUGUGUGUGUGUGUGUGUGUGUGUGUGUGUGUGUGUGUGUGUAUUGUGUGUGUGUGUUUGUGUAGUGUGUGUGUGUGUGUGUGUGUGUGUGUGUGUGUGUUUGUGUAUUGUGGCCGUGUGUGUGUGUGUGUUUGUGUAGUGUGUGUGUGUGUAUGUGUGUUGUGUUGUGUGUUGUGGUAUUGUGGUCGUGUGUGUGUGUGUGUAUUGUGUGUGUUUGUGUAGUGUGUGUGUGUAGUGUGUGUGUGUAUUGUGUGUAAGUUUGAACCAACUUAAGUAGUACAAUUUGAUUAUGUAUGCAGUGUAUGUAUGUAUGCAGGGUGUGUGUGAGUGUAUGUCAGUGUGUGAGAGUGUGUAUGUCCGUGUGAGUGCAGUGUGUGCAUCUGACCAGUGUGUGUGUGUGUAUGUAUGCCGUGUGUGUGUGUGUGUGUAUGUAUGCAGUGUGUGUGUGUAUGUAUGCAAUGUGUGUGUGUAUGUAUGUAUGUAUGUAUGCAUGGUGUGUGUGAGUGUAUGUCCGUGUGUGAGAGUGUGUAUGUCCGUGUGAGUAUGUGUGUGAGUGUGUAUGCAGUGUGUGUGUGUAUGUAUGUAUGUAUGUCGUGUGUGUGUGUGUGUAUGUAUGCAAUGUGUGUGUGUGUGUGUAUGUAUGCAAUGUGUGUGUGUGUGUGUGUGUGUGUGUGUAUGCCGUGUGUGUGUGUGUGUGUGUGUGUGUGUGUAUGUAUGCAGUGUGUGUGUGUGUGUGUGUGCAGGGCAAUCAAACCGGAACUCAAGAAAGUGUUCGUCCAAAGGCUUUUAAGCGACAACGCAAGUGGAUGAAGAUUUUGGCUAAUGUUAACAUGGAUGUAUUUUAUUAAUGUUAACAUGGAUGUAUUUUAUUAAUCAUACAAUCUUAUGUUAUGGCUUAUAACUUAGCUUUGCACUAGUAUUUUGGCUUAUGUUAACUAGCCAUUUUGUAAAUUAUGGAGAUCUAUUUUGGCUAAUGUUAACUAAUGUUAUGUUAACUAAGAUUUUCUAAAUUAUGGAGAUCUUCUUAUGUACUUGUAUUUGUUGAAGUUGCAUGUAUUGGGCACUAUUAUUUUUCUUCUGUUGGGUGAUAGAGUUUAAACCAAGCUACAUUUGCAAAUUAAACCCAAUUCUAUUAGCAGGUAAUAGAAACAAAACAAUUGUCAAUUUUUUUUAAGAUUCAUAAUAUACAUGGCAAAAAUAUGCUCCAAUUAACUCAUAUCAUGAGAUUUGUAGCAUUACUCUAUUACACAAUGGCAAAAAUUUGUAGUCCUAGUCUAAGCAAACACAAAUCUGGUGAACAGUAUUGUUUUUCUUAUCCUGCUUCUUAGUCCGACAUUACACCAAACGCUUCACUAAAUUAGUCCAGCUUAGUCCAGUCUAAGCCAGUCCAGCUUAGUCCCGGCAGCUAGUCCAGCCCGAGACAGUCCGGCGCAACAAACGCACCCUAAUAAUGUUGGUGUAUGGACUUGAGAAACGACAAAAUGCCGGUCGGGAAGGUGCAGAGAAGAGUAAGAGAGAGAAAAGAGGAAAGAAACAAACACAAAAGGACAAAGAUUAUCAAAUAGAUUGUAACAAUGACUUCUUUGGUUGAAAUGUGUAAGCAUACUUCUUUGGUUGAAAUGUGUAAGCAUCUAAGAAGUAGCAUGACAACAACCGCAUAAUAAACAAAAGUGAUAGAAAAAAGGACCCAAAUGUGAAACGACAACUAAAAACAAUUGUCUCGCAAGCCGUCGGGUUUCGCCGGAAAAUCUGGGUUUUCGAAGAAAACAAGUGUGCAUGAAUAAAUAGUCCAAAAAUGGACCUCAAAUCAUCACCGGACAGGAUUUAACCCAUGAAUAUAAAGGUUAAACGAGAAAUCUCACCUGGGUUUUGAGUUUCGAAGCUUGAAACUCUUGGCUCCAAGGGUGGAUCACUGAAAUGGUGCUCCGAUGAUGCAUGCAAAGAUAUAUUCGAGUUCCUUGAGUCUCAGGGAUUCCAAAUAUGUGAUUUUGGGGCUGGGUUUGUGAGAGAAUCAAAGUGAGAGCAAGGGUUAAGC
rnacentral:lncRNA from 1 species